GUGAGGAAUAUUGGUCAAUGGGCGAGAGCCUGAACCAGCCAAGUCGCGUGAAGGAUGAAGGUUUUAUGAAUUGUAAACUUCUUUUGCAGGGGAAUAAAGUACGGUACGUGUACCGUUUUGUAUGUACUCUGCGAAUAAGGAUCGGCUAACUCCGUGCCAGCAGCCGCGGUAAUACGGAGGAUCCAAGCGUUAUCCGGAUUUAUUGGGUUUAAAGGGUGCGCAGGCGGGUUGAUAAGUCAGCGGUGAAAGUUUGCAGCUUAACUGUAAAAUUGCCGUUGAAACUAUCGAUCUUGAGUGCAAAUGAGGUAAGCGGAAUGUGUUGUGUAGCGGUGAAAUGCUUAGAUAUAACACAGAACACCGAUUGCGAAGGCAGCUUACUGGGAUGCAACUGACGCUCAUGCACGAAAGCGUGGGGAUCAAACAGGAUUAGAUACCCGAGUAGUCC
rnacentral:rRNA from 1 species